rnacentral:rRNA from 1 species
GACGAACUGCCCUAACGUUGUUCGGAAUCACUGGGCAUAAAGGGCGCGUAGGCGGCGAUUCAAGUCGAGGGAUGAAGUCCGGCAGCUUAACUGUCGAAGUGCCUUUGAUACUUGAGUUGCGUCGAGGGAGGUGAGGGGUCUGUGGAACUUCUGGUGGAGCGGUGAAAUGCGUUGAUAUCAGAAGGAACGCCGGUGGCGAAAGCGACGGACUGGACCUUUUCUGACGCUGAGGCGCGAAAGCUAGGGGAGCAAACGGG